UACAGAGGGUGCGAGCGUUAAUCGGAAUUACUGGGCGUAAAGCGCGCGUAGGCGGCUCUGCAAGUCGAGUGUGAAAUCCCUAGGCUCAACCUGGGAACUGCAUUCGAGACUGCACGGCUAGAGUAUGGGAGAGGGAAGUGGAAUUUCAGGUGUAGCGGUGAAAUGCGUAGAUAUCUGAAGGAACAUCAGUGGCGAAAGCGACUUCCUGGACCAAUACUGACGCUCAUGUGCGAAAGCGUGGGGAGCAAACAGG
rnacentral:rRNA from 1 species